UACGGCCAUUUCACGCUCAAACGUUAGUUCUCGUGCGAUCACAUAAGUUAAGCAAUGUCGAGGCUGUGUAGUAACUAGAUGGGUGACCGCUUGAGAAUACCAUGUGCU